AGAGUUUGAUCCUGGCUCAGGACGAACGCUGGCGGCGCGCUUAGCACAUGCAAGUCGAGCGAGAACCAGGACUUCGGUCCUGGGGACAGCGGCGAACGGGUGAGUAACACGUGGGUAAUCUGCCCUCGAUUCUGGGAUAGCCCGGGGAAACCCGGAUUAAUACCGGAUAGCCUUUCGAGCUCUCGGGCUUGAAAGAAAAGGUAGCUUCGGCCUCCGAUCGAGGAUGAGCCCGCGGUGGAUUAGCUUGUUGGCGGGGUAAUGGCCCACCAAGGCGACGAUCCAUAGCUGGUCUGAGAGGACGAUCAGCCACACUGGGACUGAGACACGGCCCAGACUCCUACGGGAGGCAGCAGUGGGGAAUCUUGCGCAAUGGGCGAAAGCCUGACGCAGCGACGCCGCGUGGGGGAAGAAGGCCUUAGGGUUGUAAACCUCUUUCAGGUGGGACGAAGCCACUCGGGUUAAUAGCCCAGAGGGUGACGGUACCGCCAGAAGAAGCCCCGGCUAACUACGUGCCAGCAGCCGCGGUAAUACGUAGGGGGCAAGCGUUGUCCGGAUUUAUUGGGCGUAAAGAGCGUGUAGGCGGUCAGGUAGGUGGGUUGUGAAAACUGGAGGCUCAACCUUCAGACGUCGACCCAAACCCCCUGGCUAGAGUCCGGAAGAGGAGAGUGGAAUUCCUGGUGUAGCGGUGAAAUGCGCAGAUAUCAGGAAGAACACCCGUGGCGAAGGCGGCUCUCUGGGACGGUACUGACGCUGAGACGCGAAAGCGUGGGGAGCGAACAGGAUUAGAUACCCUGGUAGUCCACGCCGUAAACGAUGGGUGCUAGGUGUGGGGGGGUGUCGACUCCCUCCGUGCCGAAGCUAACGCAUUAAGCACCCCGCCUGGGGAGUACGGCCGCAAGGCUAAAACUCAAAGGAAUUGACGG
rnacentral:rRNA from 1 species